CAGUCGCCACGGGAAUACGUAGGGUGCAAGCGUUAAUCGGAAUUACUGGGCGUAAAGCGUGCGCAGGCGGUUAUAUAAGACAGAUGUGAAAUCCCCGGGCUCAACCUGGGAACUGCAUUUGUGACUGUAUAGCUAGAGUACGGCAGAGGGGGAUGGAAUUCCGCGUGUAGCAGUAAAAUGCGUAGAUAUGCGGAGGAACACCGAUGGCGAAGGCAAUCCCCUGGGCCUGUACUGACGCUCAUGCACGAAAGCGUGGGGAGCAAACAGGAUUAGAUACCCCUGUAGUCCCUGUCUCUUAUAC
rnacentral:rRNA from 1 species